AUUGAACGCUGGCGGCAGGCCUAACACAUGCAAGUCGAGCGGAUGAAGGGAGCUUGCUCUCUGAUUUAGCGGCGGACGGGUGAGUAAUGCCUAGGAAUCUGCCUGGUAGUGGGGGAUAACGUUCCGAAAGGAACGCUAAUACCGCAUACGUCCUACGGGAGAAAGCGGGGGAUCUUCGGACCUCGCGCUAUCAGAUGAGCCUAGGUCGGAUUAGCUAGUUGGUGAGGUAAAGGCUCACCAAGGCGACGAUCCGUAACUGGUCUGAGAGGAUGAUCAGUCACACUGGAACUGAGACACGGUCCAGACUCCUACGGGAGGCAGCAGUGGGGAAUAUUGGACAAUGGGCGAAAGCCUGAUCCAGCCAUGCCGCGUGUGUGAAGAAGGUCUUCGGAUUGUAAAGCACUUUAAGUUGGGAGGAAGGGUUGUAGAUUAAUACUCUGCAAUUUUGACGUUACCGACAGAAUAAGCACCGGCUAACUUCGUGCCAGCAGCCGCCGUAACAC
rnacentral:rRNA from 1 species